UACGUAGGGUGCGAGCGUUAAUCGGAAUUACUGGGCGUAAAGCGUGCGCAGGCGGUUUGUUAAGUCUGCUGUGAAAUCCCCGAGCUCAACUUGGGAAUUGCAGUGGAUACUGGCAGGCUGGAGUAUGGUAGAGGAAGGUGGAAUUCCCGGUGUAGCAGUGAAAUGCGUAGAGAUCGGGAGGAACACCAGUGGCGAAGGCGACAUACUGGCUCAUUACUGACGCUGAGGCGCGAAAGCGUGGGGAGCAAACAGG
rnacentral:rRNA from 1 species